GGAAAUAAAUGCACUAAAGCGCCAUCUCCACGGGCGAUUGUAUCGCAACGAGUCCGUUCUACUAUCGUCGGAUAAUCUCUACGGUACAACGAUAAUUCUGCCGGCGUGUCGUCGCAACUCGCAACGAUACGCCACGAGACCGCAAAGGAU